GUGACGUCACGAACCCCCCUCGUUCUGGCCCCUUCUGCAUUUUACGGCAUUUUAAACAAUGCCGGCUCAUUGCGCUGCAUUUAAUUGCACACUACGUCGAACGUUGGAGACAAGGAAACUUGGAAUAACUUUCCAUAGGUGAUGUGAUGUGUGCCGUUCAAGCUUGGUCAGAGAUGCUGUACCAUCAUUUAACGAAAGCUCCCACCUUCUAGCUCUGAAAAACAAUGGCGGCCUACUGAUUCCAUCACAAGGCACAGUUUGCAGAGAGGGUGAUUCGCCAGGCAUCAACAAAACAAGCUCCAAAGGUGUCAACAGUCACACACAUCGUCCGGGAGGAGAUUGGAAUGGAGGAUGUUUUUCUGCUUGGGGAGCACAUUGAAGAAACACAUCAUUCCAGCUUGUUGUCAUUGGUUGUGUUUGCCAAACUUACCUGUACCUUGACCUGCAGAAAGGGAGCACGAGAAAGAAGCUCUGCAAAACAGUCCUCUUUCAUCGGUUUUAGCUGUAAAAUGUUUGUACGUGUGUAAAUGUGGUUUGGGGCAGGGAUGUCAUGUUCUUAAUACAAUAACAUCAUCAUCAAACAACAAAGCCUUAAAAAUUUCAGACUUGUUUAUUAAAGUACUGUUUGAGUUCAUUUUCAAAGUAUUUUCCAUUUGGUUUUUCUUUGCCCAUUUCGUUUUGUGAAUAUGAAAUUUGCCCAGCAUGAUGAUAGUCUGCAACAAAAGGGAAAGGCUGUAAGGUAUGGAGGGAUUUUCAAACUGAAAGAGGAUGUGGCUCUCCUGGAGGCUGAUCCUGUGUCCGGUUUUGUUAUGGAUUAGGUUUUGUAUAUGAUUCCAGAGGUUUUUACUGUAUGAGCAUUGAUAAAAGAGGUGAAUGAUGGUUUCUGGUUCUGUUUGACAAAAGUCGCAGUUGUAGUCUAUAUUUAAUUUAAACCUCUCCAGGGUUUUUUUUUGCCGGAUAUACAUUGUGACAGAUUUUGUAUGAUAUUUCUUUGACCUUAUUGUGAAUGAGCAGCUUCUCUCCAACCAGCCAUGCUUCUCUCCAGUUUAUUUCCCCGUACAGUGAACUCCAGUAAGAGUUGGCUGCCGGUUGAUUUGAAGGUUGAAUGAGAUUCCUGAUAAAUUUAUUUGCGCAGACUUUGGUUGUUACACACGUGGACAAAAUUGUUGGUACCCCUCAGUUAAAGAAGGAAAAACCCACAAUUCUUACUGAAAUCACUUGAAACUCACAAAAGUAACAAUAAAUAAAAAUUUAUUGAAAAUUAAAUAAUCAAAAUCAGCCAUCACUUUUGAAUUGUUGAUUAACAUAAUUAUUUAAAAAAACAAACUAAUGAAAUAGGGCUGGACAAAAAUGAUGGUACCCAUAACUUAAUAUUUUGUUGCACAACCUUUUGAGGCAAUCACUGCAAUUAAACGAUUUCUGUAUUUGUCAAUGAGCGUUCUGCAGCUGUCAACAGGUAUUUUGGCCCACUCCUCAUGAGCAAACAGCUCCAGUUGUCUCAGGUUUGAUGGGUGUCUUCUCCAAAUGGCAUGUUUCAGCUCCUUCCACAUAUGUUCAAUGGGAUUCAGAUCUGGGCUCAUAGAAGGCCACUUUAGAAUAGUCCAACGCUUUUCUCUCAGCCAUUCUUGGGUGUUUUUGGCUGUGUGUUUUGGAUGGUUGUCCUGUUGGAAGACCCAUGACCUGCGACUGAGACCAAGCUUUCUGACACUAGGCAGCACAUUUCUCUCCAGAAUGCCUUGAUAGUCUUCAGAUUUCAUCGUACUUUGCACACUUUCAAGACACCCUGUGCCAGAUGCAGCAAAGCAGCCCCAAAACAUUACUGAGCCUCCUCCAUGUUUCACCGUAGGGACAGUGUUCUUUUCUUCGUAUGCUUGGUUUUUGAGUCUAUGAACAUAGAGUUGAUGUGCCUUACCAAAAAGCUCCAGUUUGGUCUCAUCUGUCCAAAGGACAUUCUCCCAGAAGCUUUGUGGCUUGUCAACAUGCAUUUUUGCAAAUUCCAGU